GGUGGCCUGCUGCUCCUCCGCUGUGCCUCCCGAUCCGUAUAUAUUAUGAUAUAACUUUGCUCAUAAGACAAUGGAAGUUCACUAGGUAGUGUCUAACCUGUCAUGCUGACUUCUGUUGAUACAAGAGAAUGGGGCUCAGAUGCUGCUUAGGUGUGAUUUAUCCAUGAAUAAUCUAAGUUUGUGGACACUGUUUUUAACUUAAUGGAACUCUUGUAGGUGUGGCUUGUGCAACUUGAACUUGAAAGCUUGGUUUGCAGAUGUUGAGUGGUAAACAGCUUGAACAUUUACUAAGGC
rnacentral:lncRNA from 1 species